ensembl:snRNA U6 U6 spliceosomal RNA
GUGCUCACUUUGGCAGCAUGCGUUCUAAAAUUAGAGUGAUACAGAGGAGAUUUAGCAUGGCUCCUGCACAAGGAUGACAUGUAAAUUCUUGAAGCAGUCCAUAUUAAA